GACAGAGGUGCCGAGCGUUAGGCGGAAUCACUGGGCUUAAAGCGUGUGUAGGCGGACCGUUAAGUGUCUUGUGAAAUCCCCCCGGCUCAACCGGGGAAUUGCUGGGCAUACUGGCGGUCUUGAGCGAUCUAGGGGGCAGAUGGAACAAGUGGUGGAGCGGUGAAAUGCGUAGAUAUCACUUGGAACGCCAAAGGUGAAGACAGUCUGCUGGGGAUCUGCUGACGCUGAGACACGAAAGCCAGGGGAGCGAACGGG
rnacentral:rRNA from 1 species